rnacentral:rRNA from 1 species
GGGAAUACUGUAGAGCUAGGGAGUGGGAGAGGUAGACGGUACUCGGUAGGAAGGGGUAAAAUCCUUUGAUCUNNUGAUGACCACCUGUGGCGAAGGCGGUCUACCCAGAACCACGUCCGACGGUGAGGGAUGAGAGCUGGGGGAGCAAACCGGAUUAGAUACCCGGGCAGUCCCAGCUGUAAACUAUGCAAACUCAGUGAUGCAUUGGCUUGUGGCCAAUGCAGUGCUGCAGGGAAGCCGUUAAGUUUGCCGCCUGGGAAGUACGUACGCAAGUAUGAAACUUAAAGGAAUUGGCGGGGGAGCACCACAAGGGGUGAAGCCUGCGGUUCAAUUGGAGUCAACGCCAGAAAUCUUACCCGGAAAGACAGCAGAAUGAAGGUCAAGCUGAAGACUUUACCAGACAAGCUGAGAGGUGGUGCAUGGCCGUCGCCAGCUCGUGCCGUGAGAUGUCCUGUUAAGUCAGGUAACGAGCGAGAUCCCUGCCUCUAGUUGCCACCAUUACUCUCAGGAGUAGUGGGGCGAAUUAGCGGGACCGCCGUAGUUAAUGCGGAGGGAGGAAGGGGCCACGGCAGGUCAGUAUGCCCCGAAACUCUGGGGCCACACGCGGGCUGCAAUGGUAAUGACAAUGGGUCCCAAAUCCGAAAGGAGGAGGUAAUCCUCAAACAUUACCACAGUUAUGACUGAGGGCUGCAACUCGCCCUCACGAAUAUGGAAUCCCUAGUAACUGCGUGUCAUUAUCGCGCGGUGAAUACGUCCCUGCUCCUUGCACACACCGCCCGU